CCUACGGGUGGCUUCAGUGGGGAAUAUUGGACAAUGGGCGAAAGCCUGAUCCAGCCAUGCCGCGUGUGUGAAGAAGGCCUUCGGGUUGUAAAGCACUUUCAGUGGGGAAGAAAGCCUUGGGGCUAAUACCCUCGAGGAAGGACAUCACCCACAGAAGAAGCACCGGCUAACUCCGUGCCAGCAGCCGCGGUAAUACGGAGGGUGCGAGCGUUAAUCGGAAUUACUGGGCGUAAAGCGCGCGUAGGCGGUCUGAUAAGCCGGUUGUGAAAGCCCCGGGCUCAACCUGGGAACGGCAUCCGGAACUGUCAGGCUAGAGUGCAGGAGAGGAUGGUAGAAUUCCCGGUGUAGCGGUGAAAUGCGUAGAGAUCGGGAGGAAUACCAGUGGCGAAGGCGGCCUUCUGGACUGACACUGACGCUGAGGUGCGAAAGCAUGGGUAGCAAACAGGAUUAGAUACCCCAGUAGUC
rnacentral:rRNA from 1 species